rnacentral:rRNA from 1 species
AGUGAACGCUGGCGGUAGGCCUAACACAUGCAAGUCGAACGGCAGCACAGUAAGAGCUUGCUCUUACGGGUGGCGAGUGGCGGACGGGUGAGGAAUACAUCGGAAUCUACUUUUUCGUGGGGGAUAACGUAGGGAAACUUACGCUAAUACCUCAUACGACCUACGGGUGAAAUCAGGGGAUCUUCGGACCUUGCGCGAUUGAUUGAGCCGAUGUCGGAUUAGCUAGUUGGCGGGGUAAAGGCCCACCAAGGCGACGAUCCGUAGCUGGUCUGAGAGGAUGAUCAGCCACACUGGAACUGAGACACGGUCCAGACUCCUACGGGAGGCAGCAGUGGGGAAUAUUGGACAAUGGGCGCAAGCCUGAUCCAGCCAUACCGCGUGGGUGAAGAAGGCCUUCGGGUUGUAAAGCCCUUUUGUUGGGAAAGAAAAGCAGCAGGUUAAUACCCCGCUGUUCUGACGGUACCCAAAGAAUAAGCACCGGCUAACUUCGUG